rnacentral:rRNA from 1 species
GGACUACUCGGGUAUCUAAUCCUGUUUGCUCCCCACGCUUUCGCAUCUCAGCGUCAGUUGUUGUCCAGAUGGCCGCCUUCGCCACCGGUGUUCCUCCUGAUAUCUACGAAUUUCACCUCUACACCAGGAAUUCCGCCAUCCUCUCCAACACUCAAGACCCACAGUUUCGAGCGCAGUUCCCAGGUUGAGCCUGGGGAUUUCACGCCCGACUUAUGGAUCCGCCUACAUGCGCUUUACGCCCAGUAAUUCCGAGCAACGUUCGCACCCUCUGUAUUACCGCGGCUGCUGGCAC